UAAUAGUAAAGAAUUAUAGGUGUUUUACAAACUUAAUAAGGAAAUCGGUUAGAAUCCGAUACAGCCCCCACUACUGUGAAACUGACGAAAGUACACAAAACCACUGAAAUAUUUUGGGAAGGGUAUAAGUAGGAUGAAGUUAGUCAGGAGACUUGCCUAAGGUUAAAUUAAAUU
rnacentral:ncRNA from 2 species